GGGAGUGGGGUAUAGUGACACAGUAACAGAGGGAUUGAGGGCCCUGCUCAGUGAGUUUACAUGUUAGAGGGAGUGGGGUAUUGUGACAGUAACAGAGGGGUUGAGGGCCCUGCUCAUUGAGUUUACAUGUUACAGGGAGUGGGGUAUAGUGACACAGUAACAGAGGGAUUGAGGGCCCUGCUCAGUGAGUUUACAUGUUAGAGGGAGUGCGGUAUAGUGACACAGUAACAGAGGGAUUGAGGCCCUGCUCAGUGAGUUUACAUGUUAGAGGGAGUGGGGUAUAGUGACA